rnacentral:rRNA from 1 species
GAGUUUGAUCCUGGCUCAGGACGAACGCUGGCGGUCUGUUUGAACACAUGCAAGUUGAACGAAGCUUUUUAGGCUUAGUAGCGAACGGGUGAGGAGAGGACAAAAAUCUACCCUAAAGACGAGGAUACCCAUUGGAAACGAUGGUUAAUAGUCGAUAUGCUUUACAGGGAAAGGUUCCACCUCCGGGGCGAUACCCGGUGACAUGAGCCGCUUUAGGAUGAGUUUGUUCCUGAUUAGCUUGUUGGUACGGUAAAAGCGUCCCAAGGCUUCGAUCAGUCGUUGGUCUGCGAGGAUGAUCAACCACAUUUGAACUGAGACACGGUCAAAACUCCUACGGGAGGCAGCAGUGGGGAAUCUUCUGCAAUGAGCGAAAGCUUGACAGAGCAAGACCGCGUGGGGGAUGACGGUUCAAGAAUUGUAAACCCCUUUUCUUGAAGAAGAAGAUAUGACGGUAUUCAAGGAAUAAGUGGCGUCUAACUCUGUGCCAGCAGACGCGGUAAUACAGGGGCCACAAGUGUUGUCCGAUGUUAUUGGGCUUAAAGCGUCUGCAGGUGGUAUGACACGUCAAAGAUUAAAGACCACUGCUUAACGGUGAUUCGGUCUUUGAUACGGUCAUACUUGAGUUCGGGAAACGUCGAGGGAGCUCCCGGUGGAGUGGUGAGAUGCGUAGAGAUCGGGAAGAACACCAACAGCGAAGGCACUCGACGAGCCCAGAACUGACACUCAGAGACGAAAGCUGUGGGAGCAACAAGGAUUAGAUACCCUUCUAGUCACAGCUGUAAACUAUGAAAACUAGGCGUUGGGAACCUUACGGAACUCAGUGUCGUCGCGAAAGCAUUAAGAUUUCCGCCUGGGAAGUACGGUCGCAAGACUGAAACUCAAAGGAAUUGGCGGGAACCCGCACAAGCAGUGUAUCAUGUGGUUUAAUUCGAUGCUAAGCGAAAAACCUUACCAAAACUUGUAUCCCGGAAAGUUUGUUGAAGAGCAAAUGUGCCCUUUGGGAAUCCGGUGACGGGUGGUGCAUGGCUGUCGUCAGCUCGUGAUGUAAAUUGUCAGCUUAAGUGCUUUAACGAGCGAAACCUCUGUCUGUAAUUACCUUUUUUUUACAGAGACUGCCAGUGAUAAAUUGGAGGAAGGUGGAGAUGAAGUCAAGUCAGCAUGCCCCUUAUGUUUUGGGCUACACGCGUGAUACAAUGGGAAAGACAAAGAGAUGUAAGGUCGCGAGGCGGUAACAAACCUCAAAAACUUUCCCUCAGUUCGGAUUGAAGGCUGCAACUCGCCUCCAUGAAGGCGGAAUUGCUAGUAAUCGUGGAUCAGCAUGCCACGGUGAAUAUGUUCUCGGGUUUUGCACACACCGCCCGUC